CGGCCGCCUAGAAUGAACGAGACCAGAGAAACGGCACGUUAGUAAGGGGAUGAGGAAGAUAUUGGAAUAAAUUGGACCAAAGGGUAUAUCAUAUGUCUUGCAGCUUCCAUGACGAACGCAAUCACCCCGGAGAGAAUGAUACAGGUUCGUGGGAAUUGUAAAUAAAGAAUAAUUCAAAUUUUAUGGCACUUACUCGACGAAGCUUAACACAUAAAUCAAGACUUAAUAACUCUUGAAUGAGACAAAGAUAAGCUCCUUUUUUUCAAGUGAUCCAAGUUCAGUAAUGAUUGUAGACACAAAAAAAGGCAAGCAUGCAACCCGCCGGAUGUCUCAAACCCGUCCAAGGAUUUGCAUGUUGGUCAAAAUUGGCAAGAUCCUCUACGAGAAUACGUCGGUUCAUUUGCCUAACCUAUGAUUUUCCACUACUACUACUACUACUACCAUUACUCCUACCACCGCUACUUCUUCUGGUGAACGACAUAGCCCCCGUUCACAUGAAGAUCAUCCACUAGAGAUAGUUGGAAUAACAUCCCAAAGCGAAGUGGAAUGGUCAAAAAAUUCUUGGCUCGGCAUGGAUCCUCGAGAUGCGGUUUGAUAACUCGAAUGACGUUCUCCACGGGGUGGGAAAAAAGAGACAGAGCACCACUACUGCACUCACUCGUGGGGACAAGCAAAAGCCAAUCUCAUCAUGGCUUGACAUGGUUUUCAUAUCUGACCAAGCAUCUCUAGUGCCAUCAGGCUGAUAUCGAGUGGACGGUAGAGCACUUUGAAAAAUUACUGCAAGACUGUUUCAACGUGGAAUAUUCACCGAGAUCAAGAGAAACGAUAACAUUGCCAAGUCCCUAAGGGGAAGAUCAGCGCCCACUUGUCAUAGGUGUUCACUAUGAAAGACGACAAUCCUGACCCCUUGCCCAUUCUCUACCGGUAUAACUGUCCAAAAAUGGGCAGGGAGUGUGCACCUCUUCCACCCCAGUCAUCUGGUGGAUGCAGGACAACGCUCUCAAGGUUGAAACGACAAUUCACGUCUCUCGCCCGAAGAAGCUCGAGUUCGAUGCCUUGAGCAACUCCAUUGAUUCAGAGUCGAGGAAUGGGAUGAUGCGCGAGCGAGCGACACUGACACCACCAUACCAAUCAUCUCUGGUGAAUGGAGCCAAUUUCCAGAAGCUCCCAAAUUUGUUGUCUUCAACUACAGUAAACCAUUUUCAGAAACCGUGUGAACCUAUUCUUGGAACUCUCGCAAUGCUCGUCAGCCAGAGUCAGCCACUUAACGUCAGCUGGGCAAUGCGAUUUUAGAAAGACGGAAAAAAACUAACCACGAAGCCAACUGGCGAUCGUUGAUUGGGGGUAGGAGUCACCACCAGCACCACAACUUC